UACGUAGGGGGCAAGCGUUGUCCGGAUUUAUUGGGCGUAAAGAGCUCGUAGGCGGCUCACUAAGUCGGAUGUGAAAACUCCAGGCUCAACCUGGAGACGCCAUUCGAUACUGGUGUGGCUUGAGUUCGGUAGGGGAGCACGGAAUUCCUGGUGUAGCGGUGAAAUGCGCAGAUAUCAGGAGGAGCACCGGUGGCGAAGGCGGUGCUCUGGGCCGAAACUGACGCUGAGGAGCGAAAGCGAGGGUAGCAAACAGG
rnacentral:rRNA from 1 species